rnacentral:rRNA from 1 species
CCCUUAGAUGUUCUGGGCCGCACGCGCGCUACACUGACGAAUGCAACGAGCUUAUAACCUUGGCCGAAAGGUCUGGGUAAUCUCCAAAUUUCGUCGUGAUGGGGAUAGAUUAUUGCAAUUAUUAAUCUUCAACGAGGAAUGCCUAGUAAGCGCAAGUCAUCAGCUUGCGUUGAUUACGUCCCUGCCCUUUGUACACACCACCCGUCGCUCCUACCGAUUGAAUGGUCCGGUGAAGCGUUCGGACCGUGGCCUUUGGACGGUUCGCCGUCUGUUGGCUGCGGGAAGUUCGUUAAACCUUAUCAUUUAGAGGAAGGAGAAGUCGUAACA